GACGAACGCUGGCGGCGUGCCUAAUACAUGCAAGUAGAACGCACAGUUUAUACCGUAGCUUGCUACACCAUAGACUGUGAGUUGCGAACGGGUGAGUAACGCGUAGGUAACCUGCCUGGUAGCGGGGGAUAACUAUUGGAAACGAUAGCUAAUACCGCAUAAUAUUAAUUAUUGCAUGAUAAUUGAUUGAAAGGUGCAAUUGCACCACUACCAGAUGGACCUGCGUUGUAUUAGCUAGUAGGUGAGGUAACGGCUCACCUAGGCGACGAUACAUAGCCGACCUGAGAGGGUGAUCGGCCACACUGGGACUGAGACACGGCCCAGACUCCUACGGGAGGCAGCAGUAGGGAAUCUUCGGCAAUGGACGAAAGUCUGACCGAGCAACGCCGCGUGAGUGAAGAAGGUUUUCGGAUCGUGAAGUUCUGUUGUAAGAGAAGAACGGGUGUGAGAGUGGAAAGUUCACACUGUGACGGUAUCUUACCAGAAAGGGACGGCUAACUACGUGCCAGCAGCCGCGGUAAUACGUAGGUCCCGAGCGUUGUCCGGAUUUAUUGGGCGUAAAGCGAGCGCAGGCGGUUAGAUAAGUCUGAAGUUAAAGGCUGUGGCUUAACCAUAGUGCGCUUUGGAAACUGUUUAACUUGAGUGCAGAAGGGGAGAGUGGAAUUCCAUGUGUAGCGGUGAAAUGCGUAGAUAUAUGGAGGAACACCGGUGGCGAAAGCGGCUCUCUGGUCUGUAACUGACGCUGAGGCUCGAAAGCGUGGGGAGCGAACAGGAUUAGAUACCCUGGUAGUCCACGCCGUAAACGAUGAGUGCUAGGUGUUAGGCCCUUUCCGGGGCUUAGUGCCGCAGCUAACGCAUUAAGCACUCCGCCUGGGGAGUACGACCGCAAGGUUGAAACUCAAAGGAAUUGACGGGGGCCCGCACAAGCGGUGGAGCAUGUGGUUUAAUUCGAAGCAACGCGAAGAACCUUACCAGGUCUUGACAUCCCGAUGCCCGCUCUA
rnacentral:rRNA from 1 species